GGGAGUCCGCUGUCCUCACAGCAAGAAACGGAAGGAGGUUCCCUCAGGGCUCUUUUGCCUCCCGGAAGUACAAGGCGCCUCCAUCUUCACAGCAUGAAGGAAGCCGAGGAGAUGCCAUGUGAGGGUGCAGCGAGGAGUUGGGCUGUCUAAAAGCAAAGAAAGAGAUUGCAUCAGACACCGCAUCUGCUGACACCUUGUUCUUGGACUUCCAGCUUCCAAAACCGCGAGAAAUAAAUGUCUGUGUCUAAACCCCAACCCUACCACCUCAACUGCCGUGUGUGGUGUUUUGUGAUGGCAGCCCCAGCUGACUGAGACACCUGGUUAGACCGGAAUAAGCAGGCUGCAAUCGGUAGCAGUCACCAUUGAACAUCCUUGAAGCAAUUCUUCCAAAAUUACCUUGCAUCAAAGACUGCACAAGAACUGCUCUAAGCGGAAGGACUGAUGUCGGCAACCAGGGUUCCACCAGGGGCUGCAGACAGCCCUUGACCUUCAGGUAGAACUGGAAGAUUUUGCUGAAAGAUUGGACAUGGCAUUCAGAGAAACAGAGGUUUUAAUGACAAACUCCAAGUUUUUGGCUGGAGCAACUGGAAGAAUGAGGUUGCCAUGAACCGAAAAGAGAGAUUGCAGAAGUAACCAAAUUUACUCACGUAGGCCAGGAAUUUCUAUGACGUGUUCCAAAUUCAGCCUCUCACUGAACACUUCCAGAGCAAGGCAACAUAAACAUCUGCAAGAAGAACAUUGUGUGAGAAAUAUCAAGUGAGAGUGGAAGAGUCUGCGGAGGGCCUCCCUGGGGCUCACCUGUGCUUUUGCCUGAGCUUCACCGUGUCAAGCACUUUUUCCCUCUGGAGGAAGCAGCUUUCACCUUGGAAGAAUCUUGACCUUGCCAUUCAAAGUCACCAGACAGGGAAUCUGCCAGUGCCUUGAUCUUAGACUUCCCAGCUUCUGUAACUGUGAGCAAUAAAUGUAUGCUGCUUAUAAACUA
rnacentral:lncRNA from 1 species